GAUACAUUGUUUUCAGAGGCUCUCGCCACUUUUGAAGGACAAGCUGACACUGCCAUGGCCCCUCCACCAGACCCUCCACAGCAGCCACAGACAGACCCCGUUCCACCAUCGCAGGUGUCAUUUGAGGGCUGGCACAAACAGUGGGAGUCCGGCCCUCAAGGUCUCCCCAGUGCUGACGUCAAGUGGCUGAAGGAGGACGCUGACAGGGGGCUCUUUAAGAACC